AACCUGACACCUUUGUGGACCCUUCCAGGGUCCGGCUGGGAGGAGGCGGCAGGGCCUUGUCCCUGGACAGCUUGGUGGCCGCGCCCCCAGCUUUCCCCCACCCCCCACCAGCCCCGGCCGCGCCUGGGGAGCGGGGGCUCACGGGAAACGGAGCAGGCGGCCGCGACGCGACCCCAGCCGGUGCCGGGACAGCCCCGCAGCCUGGGCCGCCGCUCCCCCUCCCCGGAGCCCGGAAUGGAUCCGUCCCGGAAAUAAAUAAAUAAACCCGAGGCUGCUCAGGGUGUGUGCUGCGCGCACCUGAGGCCGACCUGUGAUUCAACGCGGGAGGGAUGGCAGUGACAACGCUCUGGGGAAGUCCACAGUGACUCCUCUGCCAGGACGCCGCUGGUUGUAUAGAAAAAGCACGCGGUCGGGAAGCCACACUCCCCGAAAACCUCUGUAAACUAAAUUUAUGAGUUUACAUCUGUUCCAUCAAUGAUCACGGUGCACACCUGUUUGGCUUCAUGGCCGGCAACUACAGAUCUAGGUAUCCAAGAUCAAGAGGGAUAAUUACAUAUUAUAAGCUGCAGGGAGAAGAGUAAUCAAGGUGGACAUGAACUUGUGCUAUACAAGUUAUGGGUUGAAGAACUCCGUGUGGAAAGUAGAGAAGAAAAAAUUUAGGGAAUAAGCAGUAGUUGAAUACAACUAUGUGAAACUGUGAGAACUAUGUGAAAGAGGGUUUGGAUCCAAAGAUGAAAAGGGCUGACACAAGAGUGGAUUUUCUGAGAGCUGUUUGAGCAGAGAUAACCUGAAGGAGAUACAAUACCCCAAUCUGCAGGCAUCAGAUGUUAUGACUGCCUCCACUCUCUGCAAUUUGAGAAAACCUCUACAGAAAUUCUCAAAGGAAUGGGUAAAGACAUGAGUAUUUUUAACUACAUAUACUUUAAAUUUAUUUUUUUUUUUUGCAUUUAAAAGGCUUGAGAGGAUUUGGGUUGUAUCCAAACUGAAAAAAUAAAAAUACGUUAAGUACAUGAGGAGCCAGGAUGAAUUAAUAUAGUGAGUGAAAGUGGAUGGUACAUUCCCACACUCAUGAAGAGUAGAUGUGACACUGAAGUGUGACUUGUCUUCUAACCUGUUUGACUUGACUUGGUUACAUAUGAUUCAGAAGGUAGAGCCGUCAGUAAACACAAGAAUUAAAAUUGUCAAAACUACUGACAUUUUCCUACAAAAUAAUUAUAUAGGCAGAAACUAUAGUUGCGACUGCAGUAAAACUCAACUGCAGAACAAAAAGGGAACUGAGAUUAUUGGAAAUUCUUAAGACUAUAGCUGGUCUAGGUCAAUAUACAGAUAUUCAGCAAGAUUUUCUAUUGUGUAACAACUAAGCCUAUACAACAAUGGACAAGCUUUGUGGUUCAGAACUUUCAUUCAUUUAAUCAGGAUGACAUUGUCAGCCAUUGGUUUUAUAAGGUAAAUGAAACUGAAAAACAAGCUUGUCAUCCUACUGAAAUGCAAGCUUAGGAAGAAAUAAGUAUUUAAGAAAGGGUCAAAUCCUUUACUGUUACCUCCCCUCCUACAUACAAAAAAUGCCAGGUCCUUUUUACUGACUUGAAUUCUGUCUACUGACCACCUGUUGACACGAGCACCCCUGCCACCUUUUUUUUAGACAGAGUUUCAAUCUUGUCGCUCAGGCUGGAGUGCAGUGGCGUGAUCUUGGCUUACUGCAACCUCUGCCUCUCAGAUUCAAGCGGUUCUCCUGCCUCAGCCUCCCAAGUAGCUGGGAUUACAGGCACUCGCCACCACGCCCAGCUAAUUUUUUGUAUUUUUAGUAGGGACGGGGUUUCGCCAUGUUGGGCAGGCUGGUCUCGAACUCCUGACUGCAGGCAAUCCACCCGCCUCAGCCUCCCAAAGUGCUUACAGGCGUGAGCUACCACACCCGACAACACAGGCCCUUUAAGAAGGGGUUUUCUCCAGUCCACAUAGAACAAUGUUAAAAGAUAAUAUGCCUGGAGUCUUGUCUUGAACUUAGAUUCUAUGAAAAGACUCAGUUUUCUAGUGUGGAUGUGAAGUCUGCAAAGCUGUCAGCUCCCUGUGCAGGACACUUAGGCCAUGAGGCCAUGCCCAAUAAGACACUAAGUCGAGAUUUCCUAAGCACUCUACCUGAUCCCUGGCCUAUUCUAAGGAUUUUGCCCUAAACUAACUUUGACCUCUUCCCAUCCCCAUUUUCAGGGCACCUAGAAGUGACAAGCUCCCCAGGACUGUCCACACCUUCAAGUCCACUUUGGUCACCUUCUAAAUGUGGUCUUGAGAGUUUCAGGCUAGAACUGUGAACAGCAAACUGGCUGUCCUGAAUAAGCAAUCCUUGUAAUCAUUUUGUACAUCCCAAGAAAUAAAGCUUAAUACUGAGACAGAAAUGGGAAGAAACCUACAUCAAUGAGGUACAGGUUGAAGAAUGCGCUUCUAGUAUUAUUAAACAAAUUUGCACUCACAAUGCUAAAAUAUGGAGGAAGACAAAAAGAUAGACAAAAAUUAACUUGUAGGGAUAGGCCUGAAUGCUGAAAACUAAGACAGAUAAUAGGCAAGGUUGUAUCAUCCUGGAAAAUACCAAAAAAUAUUUUAAAAUAAUACCACAAGGUAAGAAAGGUUCAGAUUUUUAAAGUGAAUGAGUAAAAUGAAAGAAACAUUAACCUGGAAGCAAAAAAGGAAAAGGAAAAAAACAAAACAAAGGAAACAAAAUAAGAAUUCUAUUUCCUGAUGGGUUGAGCAAAGAACUACACAAUCUCCAAAGGUAGUGUAAAGGAUACAGUCGGAAGCAAGUAAAGGACAUGCUAAAGACUGGCCAGAAUGGGAAGAGAAUGCAAGGUCUUUCUCAGGCAUUCUCUGGAUCCCAGGAGAAUCAGAGACACAGAAAAGAUUAGCAGAUAACCUAUAAACUAACAAAAUAUAAGAGAAGACAGUGCAUAGAUAUGGGAAAUGAAGCACUUAUCUCCCAAGGCAGUGAGUGACUCCUUGAUAUGUAUGAUUGAUAAUUAGAGUAGAAUACAUAUAUGGCACAUAGCCCAUAGGACUGGGGAAGGUACAGAAUCACGUCUUGCAAGCACACUCCAGCACUCUACCUUCUGACUUUCAAGCAGGGGAAGUUCCUGGGAGAAGCCCCAUAGCUUAGUCCCAACAGAGUUCCACCCCAUGGGAGAACAGCUGAACGCACUGCCAGAAAACACAUAGCAUCCUUACAGGGAUGAAGGGGUCAUGCAAAAGAAGGAGCCUACUGGGCGAGAUCCAGAGAUGAGUGUAUCUCUCCAUUCUAGAACAGCUGUCUGGAAGAUCCAUCAAUAAACCACGUGGAGCACUGGCCUCCACCCAAGCUAGCAAUCCAAUUAUGAAGUAGACAGCAACACUUGGAGAUCACCAGGCAUCACCAGGCAAACGGAAAGCCUAACUCCUAUCUUGUUUUAAGACCAACCUUGUUGUCACUUCAGGCAGCCUUCACGGGAGCCCCCCAUCCCCAAUGAAUUAGAUAUCCCUCUACUGGGCUCUGCUCCUGAGAGCUCCUGCAUGAAAGGGUUCUUCCACUGUAUCAAAAUCCAAAUUAUUCUGUGCACAUUUUCAGUCCCUAUUACAGUAAGAGCUCCUUGAGGGCAGGGGCUUUAUCCCCUCAUCUUUAAACUAUCACUACCACCAUUGGGAUGAAUAUUAAGCAAAGGGAGAAAGGGAACAAAAGAUAGAGGAAGGAUUGGGGAUGUAGGGGUGGGCAGGGGAAAGAAGAGAUUGAGGAUGGAUUUGCUACAGGUUAGAAAGAUGUGUGAUAACAAAGUUAGGGCUACCUGCCUAAUAUUUUAAAGACUGACCCUAUACAUGUUUUAAAAACCUUUUACUGUCUAUUUCAAUUUCAGUUUCAUGGGCCUGUGAGUCCAUUCCAUUAUCUAUAUAAGCUGUACCUAUUAGGCAGGUCUAUUGUUUCAAAUUUCAAAAUCUCAACAGAGACCAUGAUAUGUAACGAAUUGUGUUUAAGUAUAAAUAUACAACUAGUUGUGUAUGAAGUGCUAAAUGCUUUUUGAUGGUAACAGUGAACCAUGGUUACUAAUCAUUGCAUUAGAUGCUCAAUCUGGAAUUAACUUCAAGGACAAGGUGCUUCUUGAUCCAGAAGCUUGGGUCUAAGGUACAUCAUUUCUUAUACAGCUCUUGAGCAUGAAUUAUAGUACAAUUAUAAGAAGUGUCAAUUUGGUUUAAGUGGGUCAGCAUGGUUAUAAUUAGCCCUUUAGUAGCUGACACUAAGACCUUUCUGUAAUUUAAGAUUAAGGUUAAUUUAUCCGUUCUUCUUUUCUUGAAUAUUUUUGCCAGGCCAUACAUCUAAAGUUAUGGAACAUUAUGCCAUUAAAAUGAGAAGUAUGAGUUUUCAUCGAAGUACCAUACAGGGAGCAUAUACAGAGGUAGAAAUCACAUGCU